rnacentral:rRNA from 1 species
UACGAGGGGGGCAAGCGUUGUUCGGAAUUAUUGGGCGUAAAGGGCGCGUAGGCGGUGCGGUAAGUCACCUGUGAAACCUCUAGGCUUAACCUAGAGCCUGCAGGCGAAACUGCCGUGCUGGAGUGUGGGAGAGGUGCGUGGAAUUCCCGGUGUAGCGGUGAAAUGCGUAGAUAUCAGGAGGAACACCGGUGGCGAAGGCGGGUCUCUGGGCCGUAACUGACGCUGAGGAGCGAAAGCGUGGGGAGCGAACAGG